ensembl:lncRNA
UGAUUUGUGUGUACUUGCAGUGGUAAGUGUUUGAGAUCAAAUGAAGCAAGGAGUGAAUGGAUAUGAAGAUUUGCCAGUAUGGACUUCAGCAGAAAAAGAUGAAAGCAAAGUCUGAUACAUACUCAGGUCUGACAGACCUUUUGAUUUGCGCAAUUUUCUCUCUGCUGCCCUGAGUUUGGUCCGAUGCCCACAAAGAACAUCGGAUAACCAGGGGUUAGGAGGGGCAGCCCAUGUUGGCCUGGGGGAGAGAGAACAAAUAUCGUCUAGACAAGAGGUUAAAAUAAAGCAUAAAGCGUCAGUUGUUGCAUUCACAUCCAGGGAUGAGAGAUGGGUAGGUGAGGGAAGAGAGGAGGGACAUGAGGACAGCAGCCCAUCCAGCUCCUCUAGGAAGGUGCCUAAAAUUUGCCCAGGAAAGCGAUGGAUUGCCGGUUUCAGAAUUGGUGCGAGAUCCAUCGGUUUUACCUUUCUUCACGAAGUUUUAAUUUGAGCCGGAACAUGUUCCGUCACCUCCGACGUUGGAUCCGGAACAUUUUUUAUUGGAUCCGGCACCUCAGUCCUAUGUCACUAUGGGAAAUUAAUCGCCUAAAUUAAAAAAAAUUAAUUAAUAUUUGUGUAGUGUUAAAUGUUGUUAUCGAUAGAGAUACGCAGAUGGGGUAUUAUUUCAUCCGCAACCACAUCACAAAACUCAUCAUCCGCGCCAACGUUUUUUGAGCAAAUUUCAAAGCCGCACCCGCCCGCCAUCCGCUGAUUGUUUUGCGGUCUAUGGACGAUGCAAUGCUUUGCUGAUGCGAGCCGAAAAAAAAGCCCUUGUCUGUUCUAGAAAGGAUGCAGCAAAGAUAUUUAAUGCUAAUGUAUGAGGCAUAGGCCUACGCUGAGUUUCAUUUACGAUGAGAUGCGCUCUAGUUCACAGUGCAGUGCAAGUGAACGCGGCGCGCUGGCGCUUCCAUGUCACGGUUAUCAUUGUCUGCUAUAUUUGCUUUUUAUUUAUUAAAAUACAUGCAAUUGGUUGAUGAAACAUUUAUUAAAAUUAAGAUAAAAUUUGUACAAAACGAAAUUUGUUUUUAAGAAGGGUUUUCUACAAAGCAAAAUUUAAUGAAGUGGUAAAUAUCAUGUCUGACGAUUUACAAAACUUCAUUAAGUGGUAAAAACCAUGUCUCCCGAUAUAUUGCGCAUCUUAUAAUCCUAUCUAAAAAAUGAAAAUAAUUUUUGAUAAAAAAUGUUUGUAAAAAAUAUUUUAAUGACACGGUU